rnacentral:lncRNA from 1 species
GUUCUACUGAGCUGGGUUCAAAAUAAGCCAUGGCAAAGGGAGCCUUGGUUGGAUAAACUCAUUGGACGACCUCACACAGGUACAGCACCUUCCUGCUACUUUUUCUCCAGAGAUUGGAGAAACUGAAGAAUCUAAGUUUUUGCAGGCUGGAGAGAUGACACUUUGCUAACUAUACCUCCCACUAUGAUUGAUCACAAGAACAGCAUGAUAGUUUGUUGAAACUUGAACAUUUAAAGUUCAAAUCAAGCUCCAUUGAUGAAUAAUUCACUUGCUAAAUGGUUACCAGAUGAAACCUUGUCUUUGGUAUUGUAAAUUGGGUUUGUACAAAUAUGUACAAAUUGGGUUUGUAAAUUGAAUAUAUUAAUUUCCCAAACCUUACUCUAUCCUCAUAGCAGCCACUAGCAUUAUAUGCCAAAUUACUCACAUACAGAAAUGUGUCUGAUUUCAGAGCACUCUGAUGAAUAUUGUAAAAGUCCAUGAACAGUCCGAUGAAUAAUCCUAUCCAUGAUAAUUAAAUACAUUUAUUCACAGUGUAUGAUAUUGCUGUUCCGAAAACUUCCUACUGUUUCUUCAUCUAAACAGAAAUUGGCUCCAUGUGGAAAGAUUAUACUGAAGAGAAAAUUUUUUCAUGAUUACUAUUUUACUGGCCAAUUUAUUUUAAUAUCUGUCUACAUAGGUCUAUCUACCAACUGCGGAACCCUAAUAUAACUUGCUAAGAGACAGCAAUUUUCCUUAGGGAAAACCAUGGCAUUUCUCCCUUCUCUGAAAUAGUUCAUUUUAUUACUUUUUCCUUUGGAAAAUGCUGAGGAAAAAGAAUGAGGUUCUGGCUGAAAUCUGCAAACCAGUCUGUAGGACUCUGCUUUGACUUCCCAUGAUAAUUUAAAAACAAAUAUUCUGUUUUCCAUUUUAGAAUUGGGGAUGGCUGGACAUGUCUGGUUGAAAACGCUUGGCAUUGUUUUGGCCUAUAGGGAUGACACUUCGUCUGUUUCAAUGAUGAAUGCUUAUAGAAUGUUCAUGUUUGUAAAACUCCAAUCUCUUAGGAACCAUUGUUACAUAGCUGACAUUUAUGAAGGACACCUGCGUUAUGUUUGACAAUUACAGUAAUCUCUGCCACAUUUGUCAUUCCUGUCUGCAUUUAGGUCUGCAAUAUAACCAGUGAAACGAGAGAGCAUUUUUCUCAACAGCAAGACAAAUGUUACAAGUGCUUGGUUUUUAAGUCCUUUUAAGAUUUGUUACACAGCAUUGGCUACUGGCUUCUUCCUCACUUGAUUCAGUGAGACAAGGUAGUGCUUAAAAUGGCUGCUUUGAACAUACCUGUAAGUCAUGGGAACCUUAUGGGGAAGAUUGCCAGACCACUGACACCCCUGCUAAAUGCACUUGGGGGAUAAGAGAAUAAUAAUAAUAAUAAUAAUAAUAAUAAUAAUAAGUCAUUUAUCCUCUCAGGUCAAGGAGUUGGAACUAACAUGGGAAUUCAAAACAGUGCUUGGAAUGAACUAGUUCAAAAAUCUCUGAAAUGCAUCUGAAAGUAGUCCUCAUAAUUAUCAAAAAACUAAAGGUCAAUUAAGUUCAUUUUGGGGUAGAACUUUGAACACUUUGUAGUUCAUCUUCACUUUCAUCUCCUACCUACUUACCCCACCCCCGCAGCAGAAGGGCUGGACUCUUAGCUUUCUUUAAAUAAAAAAUAAAAAAUUGACAUUUAUAAAGAAAGUUAGAAAACAAAGCAUGGAGGUAGCAUUCUAAGGUAAUGGUCCCCCAACAGGUUAUUGGUGGACCACAUAAAGAUUUUUUUGCUGGUUGUAGCAAUUGUAAUGCAUAAUGCACUGUGCUGGGUUCUGCAUGAUCUUUAAUUUUAUUUUUACAGAAAUGUUGUGGACCACUGGAAUGAAGUUGGCGGGCCACAGUUUGGGAACCCGUGUUCCAAGGCUUAUUAGGCUGAUUUGGAGAUGCUGUUGUUGCUAUGGAAACUUAGCUACUUAAUCACGGUUGCUAAGCAAUCGGAACCAAGGAAUGUGAGGCAUUUCCUGUAUCUUCCCUUUUGAGGAGAUUUGUUCUCUUCCAAUUGGAGCAGCUUGCAGCGAUAAGUACAGGAAUACAAAACUGGAAUUAGUUGGCUUUUCCUUUCGUUGUCCCUGACUCAUCCACUGUUGGCCUCCCUGCCUUGUGCCCUAUGAGUCCUAAUGGACACCAGCCAUCGCUGUAGAAAAGAGAAGCAUGACAUGACAGGCAAAGUACACCUGUAAAGGUGACCCGCAUUGGUGACAUUCCUUAGCAGAGUUAAAUAGCGUGGGCACAGCAUGAUCUGAGAAGCUGAAAGAAAGUAAAAGGUUGAGAGAGAGAGAAUUCCGCUCAAAGUACUGACUGUGACCCCUUGCCCUUUUGGAACAGAUGUGUUUGUCCUUUACGAUGAAAGCGCACUGCUUGCCGGCAUGUAAUAAAACCACUGAUGGUAUAAUGUAGUCACUGGUGGUGUGAGCAGUAGUUAGAAGCAGAGAGCCAGUGGGGAAAUGCAAGCUACUUUACAUUUAACUCAAUCCCAGUUGCCUUAUAUUAGCCUACACCCACAUACAUAUUUAUUCAGACAUUCUUUUCACAGACUUUCUUCCUUUUUAUAGUCUAACCCUUCCUUCCUUCCUUGUCUCUACUGACAAACCACUAUGACAUCUGUGGUGGUGGUUGGAGCCGGCUGAGAUGCAAUAUAUGGGUUCAGGCUUCCUUCCAAGCGGGAUCGCUAUUACAGGGACUUCCAGUUAGUGGUUCAGAUUUCUCCCCCUCUGAAUGCAAUCACCGGAAGAGUAAACUCCUUGUGAAGACGUGUAUAGAAACUUACUCUGACAGCAGAGUCAGUAAUAAACAUUCACUGCACUCCAAAGGAAUACAGUAGUUCCUGCACCCUUGGUCUUUCAUCUGCAAGCUAAAUAUAGUAAAUAUUUAACUGUAAGCGAUAUCUUAGAAAGCAAGGUUGGCUUUUGCAAGUUUCCAUUUAAAAAAUAUUAUUGUGAGUUGUAAAGAGGAAAUCUCAAAUCUAAAUGUAAAACCCAUGUUUUACCAUCUCCUUGAUACUGUGGUUGUGGCGGG